AAGUCGUAACAAGGUUUCCGUAGGUGAACCUGCGGAAGGAUCAUUAACACGUAUCCACGUAUCAACUAAAACCACGAACUGUUCUCCCCGUAGACAACCUACCUCUGCGCUGUUCUUCCGAGUCUAUAAUGGGUCGCACUUCGGUGUGACAGGGCUCGGUUGUGACUAUUCACUCCUCGAAGUGAUGGCAAAGUAAUUGGCUUGUCGGGCUUUAUUCUUCAUUCCAUUUGAAUGUACCCAUUCUUCCAUUCAUGGCUUGAUAAACCAUACCCGUUUCACCAUAUGUUACCUAUUUGGCUAAUUACUACAUUCUUUGGAGAGAAAUCUCUAUGGAAUUCUAAGAUUUAUCUUAACUAAGCACAACUCUUAGCAAUGGAUAUCUUGGUUCUC
rnacentral:misc_RNA from 1 species